ensembl:lincRNA Gm36972 predicted gene, 36972
GGACUUGAGCAAGCACCAUCUUCUUUGUUAGAAUUGCUGGCUGCAGAUAAAACUAAGGAAGAGAUGAAAAUACAGCCCAUCUGUUUUGAAGAGUUUGGAAAACACCACAAAAAUACUGGCCAAUAAACUCCCACAGAGUAUUAUUUUCUCAGCACUGAAACAGCUCAUGAAUGCGCCAUUAUAGAAAAGUAGUCUUCAAUUACCUUGCGAUUCUGUCUGAAUACUACUAAGAAAGGCACAUGAUCCCGGCAAUCUCCAGUCAGAAUGGUCCUGUUUCACUGAAUCGCGCCUCCGUUCAUAAUGGAUCCCCACCCGGACGUAAUCCCAAGGACUUUGAACCUGGGCUAGAAGACAGAUUAACCGAUUGUUGGUCGUGGUUUGGCCAGGGAAACAUCUGCUAAAUGCAACCAACUUACCCAGCUAAGACCCUGGUUCAAUCUCUCUCUACCUGCAGCAGGUGAGGUGUGAGACCCAGGGUCUGAAGCAAAGUCCAUGGUGUAAAGGAAGUGACCGAGCCUUGAACCUGCCAGUGGCAGUGUGACACUAGGCCUUCAUCUCAUCUCUUCCCUGCUGAAUUGCCUAUAUUAAUGUCACCAUCAUGGUCACAUUGGACAUUGGCCUAUGUGAGAAAGGGGCACUGUUCGGUGGGGGUUGGGGAUGAUGGCGUGCGUUGAUC